rnacentral:rRNA from 1 species
CCUACGGGGAGGCAGCAGUAAGGAAUAUUGGUCAAUGGACGCAAGUCUGAACCAGCCAUGCCGCGUGAAGGAUUAAGGUCCUCUGGAUUGUAAACUUCUUUUAUAUGGGACGAAAAAAGGACAUUCUUGUCCGUCUGACGGUACCAUAUGAAUAAGCACCGGCUAACUCCGUGCCAGCAGCCGCGGUAAUACGGAGGGUGCAAGCGUUAUCCGGAUUCACUGGGUUUAAAGGGUGCGUAGGCGGGCAGGUAAGUCAGUGGUGAAAUCCUGGAGCUUAACUCCAGAACUGCCAUUGAUACUAUCUGUCUUGAAUAUUGUGGAGGUAAGCGGAAUAUGUCAUGUAGCGGUGAAAUGCUUAGAUAUGACAUAGAACACCUAUUGCGAAGGCAGCUUACUACGCAUAUAUUGACGCUGAGGCACGAAAUGCGUGGGGAUCAAACAGGAUUAGAUACCCUGGUAGUCCACGCCCUAAACGAUGGAUACUCGACAUAGCGCGAUACACCAGUGUGUGUCUGAGCGAAAGCAUUAAGUUCCCACCUGA